rnacentral:rRNA from 1 species
UGGGGAAUAUUGCACAAUGGGGGAAACCCUGAUGCAGCGACGCCGCGUGAACGAAGAAGGUAUUCGUAUCGUAAAGUUCUGUCCUAUGGGAAGAUAAUGACAGUACCAUAGAAGAAAGCUCCGGCUAAAUACGUGCCAGCAGCCACGGUAAUACGUAUGGAGCGAGCGUUGUCCGGAAUUAUUGGGCGUAAAGGGUACGCAGGCGGUUUAAUAAGUCGAAUGUUAAAGAUCGGGGCUCAACCCCGUAAAGCAUUGGAAACUGAUAAACUUGAGUAGUGGAGAGGAAAGUGGAAUUCCUAGUGUAGUGGUGAAAUACGUAGAUAUUAGGAGGAAUACCAGUAGCGAAGGCGACUUUCUGGACACAAACUGACGCUGAGGUACGAAAGCGUGGGGAGCAAACAGG